AAAGCCACCUCGCGGCGCCCAUCCCUGGCGCCGCCCCGCCCUGUCACCGCCUCCUCCUCACCUCACCCCCGAGUCGCCCCCGACGCCCGUCCGCGCGCCGCCCUCGAUCUGGAACUGGGACUCCGUCCCGAUGCCACAGCCGCUUGGAGUCCCCCUCGCCGGAGCCACGACACCGCCGAACCGCGACCUCGUCUCCUCCUCGCGCCGCUUCAUCAAGCCUCAUCGCCCCCGUUCCUCUACGCGCCCACCCCGAGACCGAUGCCGCCGCUGCGAUCGACUACGUCUCUGACGAGCCUUCUUCCUUUUCAACAGAGCUUCCAGGCAAGCAAACCCCCCAUGACGGAUUCCAGGAGCCAAACGACACCACUGAUGACUACUACAACCCCGAGGGUGCCUACUACGUGACGACCGCUGACGACCUGGAGUAGUUAGGAGGCUCCCAGGCAGGAGG